AUGUUUGCAAUCGUUGAAGUGUUUGUUUUGUUUAUAGUUCUGCGUUGUACCUAAUUUCUUUAAAAUCUCUAAACUACGAGAGUUGUGAUGCUACUAUGAGUUAUCUGGGGUCGGAAGCAGCAGCAGUCCCGCCGCAGAUUCAACGAAAUUAUAACAGCUGCCGUCACGUCUUUGGAAUGUUCCGGAACUCCGUACAUUUGCAUCAUCAGGAGGUUCCAAAAAUAUGCUAAGAAAAACUGGCACUAAAAACACAGCAGAGCGGGAAGCUGAACAGUUAACACUCAAGGAUAGGCAGCAGCGCAAGAUCCGUAGCAGCAGCCGACGCAAUCAUUCCCUCCGCCGGCUGAACUUUCUUCCGCUAAAGCAACAUAGAAGUGCCAGUAGAUCGAGCUAUAUAAAUAACAUUAAUAUACAUAAAACGUGAUAUUUAACAUAUUGGGU